AUUGAACGCUGGCGGCAGGCCUAACACAUGCAAGUCGAGCGGAUGAAGGGAGCUUGCUCCUGGAUUCAGAGGCGGACGGGUGAGUAAUGCCUAGGAAUCUGCCUGGUAGUGGGGGAUAACGUCCGGAAACGGGCGCUAAUACCGCAUACGUCCUGAGCGAGAAAGUGGGGGAUCUUCGGACCUCACGCUAUCAGAUGAGCCUAGGUCGGAUUAGCUAGUUGGUGGGGUAAAGGCCUACUAAGGCGACGAUCCGUAACUGGUCUGAGAGGAUGAUCAGUCACACUGGAACUGAGACACGGUCCAGACUCCUACGGGAGGCAGCAGUGGGGAAUAUUGGACAGUGGGCGAAAGCCUGAUCCAGCCAUGCCGCGUGUGUGGAGAAGGUCUUCGGAUUGUAAAGCACUUUAAGUUGGGAGGAAGGGCAGUAAGUUAAUACCUUGCUGUUUUGACGUUACCAACAGAAUAAGCACCGGCUAACUUCGUG
rnacentral:rRNA from 1 species